rnacentral:rRNA from 1 species
AGAGUUUGAUCCUGGCUCAGGACGAACGCUGGCGGUGCGCCUUAUGCAUGCAAGUCGAGCGAAGCUUUUCAGUAGUUUACUACAGAAAAUGACUGAGCGGCGAACGGGUGAGUAACGCGUGAGCAAUCUACCUUAGUUACAGGGAUAGCCCGAGGAAACUCGGAUUAAUACCUGAUAUUCUUUACAUUUCGCAUGAAAUCAAAAGGAAAGGUCAGCCGAACUAAGAUGAGCUCGCGUUCUAUCAGCUAGUUGGUGAGGUAAAAGCUCACCAAGGCAACGACGGAUAGCUGGUCUGAGAGGACGAUCAGCCACACUGGGACUGAGACACGGCCCAGACUCCUACGGGAGGCUGCAGCAGGGAAUAUUGCGCAAUGAGCGAAAGCUUGACGCAGCGACACCGCGUGUGGGAUGACGGAUCUAGGUUUGUAAACCACUUUCAGGAGGGAAGAAAAUGACGGUACCUCCACAAGAAGCCCCGGCCAACUACGUGCCAGCAGCCGCGGUAAUACGUAGGGGGCGAGCGUUGUCCGGAUUUAUUGGGCGUAAAGAGCUCGUAGGCGGUUCAACAAGUCGGUCGUGAAAGUUCAGGGCUCAACCCUGAAAUGUCGAUCGAUACUGUUGUGACUAGGAUACGGUAGAGGUGAGUGGAAUUCCGAGUGUAGCGGUGAAAUGCGUAGAUAUUCGGAGGAACACCAAUUGCGAAGGCAGCUCACUGGGCCGCUAUCGACGCUGAGGAGCGAAAGCUAGGGGAGCAAACAGGAUUAGAUACCCUGGUAGUCCUAGCUGUAAACGAUGGAUACUAGACGUAGGAACUGGAUUGACGGUUUCUGUGUCGCAGCUAACGCGUUAAGUAUCCCGCCUGGGGAGUACGGUCGCAAGACUAAAACUCAAAGGAAUUGACGGGACCCCGCACAAGCGGCGGAGCAUGCGGCUUAAUUCGAUGAUACCCGUAGAACCUUACCUGGACUUGACAUAUAGGGUCUAGCUAUAGAGAUAUAGUGUGCA